rnacentral:rRNA from 1 species
CGCAAGCCUGACGGAGCAAGACCGCGUGGGGGAGGAAGGCUCUAGGGUUGUAAACCCCUUUUCUUUGGGAAGAAGUUCCGACGGUACCAAAGGAAUCAGCCUCGGCUAACUCCGUGCCAGCAGCCGCGGUAAUACGGAGGAGGCAAGCGUUAUCCGGAAUGAUUGGGCGUAAAGCGUCCGCAGGUGGCCAUGUAAGUCUGCUGUCAAAACCCAGGGCUUAACUCUGGUUAGGCAGUGGAAACUACAAAGCUAGAGUCUGGUAGGGGCCAAGGGAAUUCCCGGUGUAGCGGUGAAAUGCGUAGAGAUCGGGAAGAACAUCGGUGGCGAAAGCGCUUGGCUAGACCAGAACUGACACUCAGGGACGAAAGCUAGGGGAGCGAAUGGGAUUAGAUACCCCAGUAGUCCUAGCUGUAAACGAUGGAUACUAGGUGUUGCCCGUAUCGACCCGGGCAGUGCCGUAGCUAACGCGUUAAGUAUCCCGCCUGGGGAGUACGCACGCAAGUGUGAAACUCAAAGGAAUUGACGGGGGCCCGCACAAGCGGUGGAGUAUGUGGUUUAAUUCGAUGCAACGCGAAGAACCUUACCAGGGCUUGACAUGUCGCGAAUCUAGGGGAAACCUUGGAGUGCCUUCGGGAGCGCGAACACAGGUGGUGCAUGGCUAUCGUCAGCUCGUGUCGUGAGAUGUUGGGUUAAGUCCCGCAACGAGCGCAACCCUCGUCUUUAGUUGCCAGCAUUAAGCUGGGCACUCUGAAGAGACUGCCGGUGACAAACCGGAGGAAGGUGGGGAUGACGUCAAGUCAGCAUGCCCCUUACGCCCUGGGCUACACACGUACUACAAUGGUCUGGACAGAGGGUAGCCAACCCGCGAGGGUGAGCCAAUCCCUAAAACCAGGCCUCAGUUCAGAUUGCAGGCUGCAACUCGCCUGCAUGAAGUCGGAAUCGCUAGUAAUCGCAGGUCAGCAUACUGCGGUGAAUCCGUUCCCGGGCCUUGUACACACCGCCCGUCACACCAUGGAAGUUGGCCACGCCCGAAGUCAUUACUCUAACCCGUAAGGGAGGGGGAUGCCGAAGGCAGGGCUGAUGACUGGGGUGAAGUCGUAACAAGGUAGCCGUACCGGAAGGUGUGGCUGGGUCACCUCCUUU